UACGGGGGGGGCAAGCGUUGUUCGGAAUUACUGGGCGUAAAGGGCUCGUAGGCGGCCCACUAAGUCCGACGUGAAAUCCCCAGGCUUAACUUGGGAACUGCGUCGGAUACUGGUGGGCUUGAAUCCGGGAGAGGGAUGCGGAAUUCCAGGUGUAGCGGUGAAAUGCGUAGAGAUCCGGAGGAACACCAAAGGCGAAGGCAGUGUCCUGGGGAGUACCUGACGCUCAGGUGCGAAGCCAGGGAGCGAACGGG
rnacentral:rRNA from 1 species